GCCUGAUUAGCUCAGUGGUUAGAGCACCCGCCUUUUAAGCGGGUGGUCGCGGGUUCGACCCCCGCAUUAGGCU